UUAUUUGCAGACUCCCCCGGCUUCGAAGUCAAAAAAAUCAAAACCAGCGGUUCUGCGCGCGGCUACUGCGGCAUCCUCACAAAGAUUUAGCUUUAACUUCCAGCGGGAUCUUUCACCUUCCUUGCUGCCAUUGAUGCUGUUCUGAUCACCGUGGUCGUCACUUAGCUUCCCUGUGUUAUUUCAUUUAAGGAUGGAUGGUAGACGUGGAGUGAUUUUGAGAACAAAUCUCUCUGAUAAUUGACGAGGAUCUGAGCCAUGGAUGUGGAAUUUUGAAGCUUGGGGCUCUUGCAUCAUUUUUGGAAAGAAUACGAAUUAAAUAAGGUGAUAAAUAUUUCAUUUUUGCUUGCAUGCAUGAUACUUUAGAAUUGCAAGAUGAUAGAGAGGGUUUGAAUCUGCGACGAGCUACGUGGAGUAUUCAUUUCUUGUACCAUUUUUGGGACAACCAUCUAGAUCAAUCAUAUAUUAAGAUUUUACUUCUGCUCAUUUACGCUAUAUUGUGUACUUGUUUUGAAGAGUUAUCUAUCGAAGUCAGAAACUGCAAGAGGAAUGUGUUUGGAGAUAUAUAGUUAGUGACAUUUCUUGAGUCCUUUUCAUUUUGUUGGAUCCAAUGGUUGGAUUCCAAACAGAAAGUAAAUUUCCAAUCUCUUGAUACCUCUCAUCUUUAUUUGAGUGACUUUAGUUGGCACCCUCUAGGAAUGGUUGAGAAUUUAAGACAUCCUUAUUAGCGCCCUUAAUAAUUGGCAUGUGAUACUAUCAGUCUGGCCAUGAUGUCGCAUUAAUGUGUGCCAAGAAUGAUUUGCGUUUUGUAUUCUGCACGAUGUUCCUUAAAUUGCAUCUCCUUGUUUUUAGAUGAUGGGCUUACCACUAUAACGGUCUUGAUUAUAGUGUGUUAUUUGCAAGUGGAUCUUUUGAGAACAUAAAUAUUGAACCCGCCAAAAUCACUGACAAGAGCUUCAUGGUGUUGAAUUCAUAGUUUUGAGUUUGAUAAUUUGGUUAAAAGCAGGUCGUCCUAGAGAUAGAUAUUUGAAUUAACUUGUGCACUUUAAUUUCUAUUUUACCAGUUUAUUUGUUAUUUUUAAUUUCCAACUGGGGAACUGUAUUUGAUGUUCCUUGUAUGGUUGCUUUGGAAAACAUUACUUUUAAAAGCUUUUUUUAAGCAACACUACCCUGUAAUAAUGUUUGGUACCUGGUUGGUGGAAUGCAAUUUGUUGAUUCAGUUUUUUCUUUGAUUUUGUACUUUUUUUACUCUUGAAAAGUAUAUUAAUAAAUGGACUGUUUAUAAUUUCCACAAAUAUCUAAAGUGGAUGCUUUUACCAAAUUUUAUGUGACUGUGUUCUACAUUUGAUUGCUUUGACCUGGAAAUUCCUAUUUUAUAUCAGAUCUGUAAUAAAUACGUUGCUUCUGUUUCCAAUUCCUCUUUUUCGAUAAGUUGAAACUGUAUUUCAAUAGUGAUGUAAAUAGUUAUUACUUUAAAAUUAACUAUUAACAUAUUUAUAACAGCUUGCAGGCUAAAAUCAGAAACUCUCUGUAUCAGUCUUCUAGAGCAUGAAAUAAUAGAUUGCCCAUUAUAUUAAUAGUUAAUUGUCAGAGCAACAGGAUUGCAUCGAUACUAAUCAUGCAUGCCAGUUGAGAUCAGACUCAUAUGUCUAGUCACUGUGUGCUAACCUAUCCUUCAAGUGCGCCAUUUACAUGUUGCUUCUAAAGGUCUUUCAUGGGCUCUAUGCAGAAAGUGCUUUGGCAAUAACAUGACCAUUAGUUGCAUUGCAUGUUUGCAUGGAUUACGUAGGCAUUCCUUGUGUAUCGUUUCCAGUGUUCUUUGGGAAGUUAAAAUAAAAAUUAAUGCAACAAAGUAUGUAGUGAAAGGGAAAGGUGGCACUAACAUGGUAAAAAAGGCAGGCAGAGUGAUUUGUUUACAUGCUAGUGUAAUGUGAGCCAUGAACUGGCCUUGUCUUUCUUAACAAAGUCUUCACUAAAUAUGCAUCAUGGGAAAAAAUCAAGGGGCCAACUUUUGGCGGGACAUGACGUCUUCUAAGUUAAAGAUUCUCCAUUACUUGAUAUAAAAUCAAACAAAUUUUGAUGGAUUCUGAUGCAAAUUUCAGUAUCUCUUUCUCUAUCUCCAAGUCAAAAUGGGCCUAGGCGCUAAAAUAAAAUCAAAGAAACGCAGAUGGGUUCUGGAGCAAAAUUAAUGCGCUGCGCUCUCACUCUCUCUGUCGCACACAACUAUUAUUAGUCACAGAUAAGGAAUCCUUGUACUAGGAAAGGCUCGAAAAGGAUGCUCGUUUAGAGCUACCAAAGGUUACUAAACUGAAUAGGACCCUAAACUUCUAUUAAAGUUCUGGGAAGCGAUAUGGAGGCACGAAUAUCUGCACAGAUGAGAUAUUCUUGCACACUCUCUUUUCAAUUCAUAGCAAUCUUCAGUUUUAUUCUAUUUUAUUUUA